ACUCCUACGGGAGGCAGCAGUAGGGAAUCUUCCACAAUGGGCGCAAGCCUGAUGGAGCAACACCGCGUGAGUGAAGAAGGGUUUCGGCUCGUAAAGCUCUGUUGUUAAAGAAGAACACGUAUGAGAGUAACUGUUCAUACGUUGACGGUAUUUAACCAGAAAGUCACGGCUAACUACGUGCCAGCAGCCGCGGUAAUACGUAGGUGGCAAGCGUUAUCCGGAUUUAUUGGGCGUAAAGAGAGUGCAGGCGGUUUUCUAAGUCUGAUGUGAAAGCCUUCGGCUUAACCGGAGAAGUGCAUCGGAAACUGGAUAACUUGAGUGCAGAAGAGGGUAGUGGAACUCCAUGUGUAGCGGUGGAAUGCGUAGAUAUAUGGAAGAACACCAGUGGCGAAGGCGGCUACCUG
rnacentral:rRNA from 1 species